rnacentral:rRNA from 1 species
GAUGAACGCUGGCGGCGUGCCUAAUACAUGCAAGUCGAGCGAACAGACGAGGAGCUUGCUCCUCUGACGUUAGCGGCGGACGGGUGAGUAACACGUGGAUAACCUACCUAUAAGACUGGGAUAACUUCGGGAAACCGGAGCUAAUACCGGAUAAUAUAUUGAACCGCAUGGUUCAAUAGUGAAAGACGGUUUUGCUGUCACUUAUAGAUGGAUCCGCGCCGCAUUAGCUAGUUGGUAAGGUAACGGCUUACCAAGGCAACGAUGCGUAGCCGACCUGAGAGGGUGAUCGGCCACACUGGAGCUGAGACACGGUCCAGACUACUACGGGAGGCAGCAGUAGGGAAUCUGCCGCAAUGGGCGAAAGCCUGACGGAGCAACGCCGCGUGAGUGAUGAAGGUCUUCGGAGCGUAAAACUCUGUUAUUAGGGAAGAACAAAUGUGCAAGUAACUAUGCACGUCUUGACGGUACCUAGUCAGAAAGCCACGGCUAACUACGUG